ACGAGCGCUGGCGGCAGGCCUAACACAUGCAAGUCGAGCGCGCCCUUCGGGGUGAGCGGCGGACGGGUGAGUAACGCGUGGGAACGUGCCCUUUUCUACGGAAUAGCCUCGGGAAACUGAGAGUAAUACCGUAUACGCCCUUUGGGGGAAAGAUUUAUCGGAAAAGGAUCGGCCCGCGUUGGAUUAGGUAGUUGGUGGGGUAAUGGCCUACCAAGCCGACGAUCCAUAGCUGGUUUGAGAGGAUGAUCAGCCACACUGGGACUGAGACACGGCCCAGACUCCUACGGGAGGCAGCAGUGGGGAAUCUUAGACAAUGGGGGCAACCCUGAUCUAGCCAUGCCGCGUGAGUGAUGAAGGCCUUAGGGUUGUAAAGCUCUUUCAGCUGGGAAGAUAAUGACGGUACCAGCAGAAGAAGCCCCGGCUAACUCCG
rnacentral:rRNA from 1 species